rnacentral:snoRNA from 13 species
CCAACAUGGUCCUCCAUUGAGGUUACUCAUGGCUCUGUCCAAGUGGCAUAUGGAGGCAUAGCCCUAAGUGCAGUGAUGCACAAUACCCUUCCAUAGUUGGAAGAGCAAACCUAUCUCUGGCUCUACAACUGAUGAAGUCAGAAUCCUGUAUAUUCCUAAAACUUCUCAUAGUCUUUAGGUGAUUACUGAGGCGAAAAACCAUGCAGGAUGUAAUU